rnacentral:tRNA from 1 species
GCUUGAAUAGCUCGGAUGGGUAGAGCAUGUGGCUGUUAACCAUGAAGUCGGAGGUUCAAGCCGCCCUCCUUCUAGCC